rnacentral:rRNA from 1 species
UACGGAGGGUGCAAGCGUUAUCCGGAUUUACUGGGUUUAAAGGGUGCGUAGGUGGGUAGGAAAGUCAGUGGUGAAAUCUUCGGGCUUAACCCGGAAACUGCCAUUGAUACUAUUUAUCUUGAAUACUUUGGAGGUAAGCGGAAUAUGUCAUGUAGCGGUGAAAUGCUUAGAUAUGACAUAGAACACCGAUAGCGUAGGCAGCUUACUACACAAAUAUUGACACUGAGGCACGAAAGCGUGGGGAUCAAACAGG